rnacentral:tmRNA from 1 species
GGGGGCGAACUGGAUUCGACCGGACAGAUUGAGGCAGAAAGCGGCGCUUCGGGGUUGUCAGGAGGCCCCGUAAAACACCUGGCAAAAAUAUAAACGCAGACAAUGCGUAUGCAUUUGCAGCGUAAUUAAGCUGUAACGUUGUCGUGUUCCCCUCCCGCGGGAGCAUGGCGACGUAUCACUGCGGGAUAGCCCUGAGGGUUUGCUAAACGCCUGAGGGGCGAAACUCAAAGUUAAGCUGGCGGACUGGCACCUUGCCGGAAGGGGGCCCGGGCGCGAGAGCAAAUUACCGGCUACAAGCGUAGAAGCUCCUGCUGAAGUGUCUCGGGACGGGGGUUCAAUUCCCCCCGCCUCCACCA